UGCCAGCAGCCGCGGUAAUACAGGGGGUGCAAGCGUUAAUCGGAAUUACUGGGCGUAAAGCGCACGUAGGUGGGCAAGUAAGUUGUUGGUGAAAAGCUCGGGCUUAACCUGAGUCUGUCCAGCAAAACUGCUAGUCUAGAGUGUAUUAGAGGGAAGUGGAAUUUCCGGUGUAGCAGUGAAAUGCGUAGAUAUCGGAAGGGACACCAGUGGCGAAGGCGACUUCCUGGAAUACUACUGACACUGAGGUGCGAAAGCGUGGGGAGCAAACAGGAUUAGAUA
rnacentral:rRNA from 1 species